rnacentral:rRNA from 1 species
CCUACGGGGGGCAGCAGUAGGGAAUCUUCCACAAUGGGCGAAAGCCUGAUGGAGCAACGCAGCGUGGGUGAAGAAGGUCUUCGGAUCGUAAAACCCUGUUGUUAGAGAAGAAAGAGCGUGAGAGUAACUGUUCACGUUUCGACGGUAUCUAACCAGAAAGCCACGGCUAACUACGUGCCAGCAGCCGCGGUAAUACGGAGGUGGAAAGGUUUAUCCGGAUUUAUGGGGCGAAAAGGUAACACAGGCGGUCUUUUAAGUCUGAUGUGAAAGCCGUCGGCUUAACCGGAGUAGUGCAUUGGAAACUGGGAGACUUGAGUGCAGAAGAGGAGAGUGGAACUCCAGGUGUAGCGGUGAAAUGCGUAGAUAUAUGGAAGAACACCAGUGGCGAAAGCGGCUCUCUGGUCUGUAACUGACGCUGGGGUUCGAAAGCGUGGGUAGCAAACAGGAUUAGAUACCCUGUAGUC